GGCUGGAUGUCCGAGCGGUCUAAGGAGCUAGACUCAAGUGUCUUUAACACUUCCUGCUCUCCCAAGAGUUGGAGCAUUCUAGUCUCGAAAGAGGCGCGCGUUCGAAUCGCGCUUCAGUCA